rnacentral:rRNA from 1 species
UACGUAGGGGGCAAGCGUUAUCCGGAUUUACUGGGUGUAAAGGGAGCGCAGACGGAUGGAUAAGUCUGAAGUGAAAGCCCGCGGCUCAACUGCGGGACUGCUUUGGAAACUGUGCAUCUUGAGUACGGGAGGGGCAGGCGGAAUUCCUGGUGUAGCGGUGAAAUGCGUAGAUAUCAGGAGGAACACCGGCGGCGAAGGCGGCCUGCUGGACCGAAACUGACGUUGAGGCUCGAAAGCGUGGGGAGCAAACAGG